rnacentral:lncRNA from 1 species
AAAGUUGCAUCAUUUUGGGGCGUGGUUGCGUUGAGUGACAGGUAGGUGCCGUCACAGUUUCCAGCUUCCUGUUCUCCUGCGCCAUGUUGAAAACCUUUAACACUCACUUGUUCUAUCUUAUUUGCUUAGUCUACCUUGUUUAAAGCUUGCUAAUUGUCUCCUGAUAUCCAGUGUGUGUUUUUAGGUGCAAUUCAGAAGUAUUUCAGAGCAGCUACGGUACCAGAGGAGACAACUGGACAAAGUCAAGCAUCAGGAUACAACCACCGUGCUGCUGCUGCUGGAAGAUUACUCCGCUGCAUCGCACCAACAGCCUGACUUCAUAAAAUCUUCCUUCCAGAGUACCACCAGUUCACUAAGCUUGAGAUGAAGAAAGUCCCGGUCCAUCAACUCGACAGCGACGAACUACAUCAGCGUGCCUACCUUGUGAUUGACGGCGUGGCCACCAGGGCGUGGCCACCAGGGCGUGGCUACCAGGGCGUGGCUACCAGGGCAUGACUACCAGGGUAUGGCUACCAGGGAGUGGCUACCAGGGCAUGGCUACCAGGGUAUGGCUACCAGGGAGUGGCUACCAGGGCGUGGCUACCACGAAGUUUGAGAAGGGCAGAAAAGGGGAGAGAAGAAGAAGAAAAGGGGAGGUCGUCUGCAGAGGGGAUUACACAUUGUGA